GCAAGUCGAACGAAGCACUUUCGGAGGAUCCCCUCGGGGUGAAUCUGGUUGUGACUUAGUGGCGGACGGGUGAGUAACGCGUGGGUAACCUGCCUUAUACAGGGGGAUAACAGUUAGAAAUGACUGCUAAUACCCCAUAAGCGCACGGUAUCGCAUGAUAAAGUGUGAAAAGAUUUAUCGGUAUAAGAUGGACCCGCGUCUGAUUAGUUAGUUGGCAGGGUAACGGCCUACCAAGACGACGAUCAGUAGCCGACUUGAGAGAGUGAUCGGCCACAUUGGGACUGAGACACGGCCCAGACUCCUACGGGAGGCAGCAGUAGGGAAUAUUGCACAAUGGGGGAAACCCUGAUGCAGCGACGCCGCGUGAGUGAUGAAGUAUUUCGGUAUGUAAAGCUCUAUCAGCAGGGAAGAUAAUGACGGUACCUGACUAAGAAGCCCCGGCUAACUACGUGCCAGCAGCCGCGGUAAUACGUAGGGGGCAAGCGUUAUCCGGAUUUACUGCGUGUAAAGGGAGUGUACGCGGUCUGGCAAGC
rnacentral:rRNA from 1 species